ensembl:lncRNA
AAGAAGAUGCGCUCAAAUUGUAUCUGGAGAUAAAUGUCCAUGCUGUCUAGCCCUAAGCAGAAGUUUUGUUUAUCUGAUUUUCAGUUAAUUUUAUACGAUUAUUCUGUUCACUAAAACCAGGAAUAGGAGUCAAGCUGCUGGGAUUUUUAAAAAAUUUUAACACAUCUUUAUUUUCUUGACAUAUGAGUUUUCCAUAACUAGUUUCUUUUAGCUAAGCUCAUAUUUAUCUGAGAGAAAAAUCUCAGGCUAGAUCCAUCUUAAUUUAUUCUUAAGCAGCAUUCCAGAAUGAAGUCAGAAGGUGAGGAUCUAAAAAGUUAUGCUGGAAGAGACAAAAAUAGAAUAGAAAAAAGAGCAUUUCCACUUCUUUUUCCCCCAACUGUCUCUGCCUGGAACAGAGUUGGCCCAGUGAAGAAAUUUUGAAAUUUAUAUUUUUCUCUUUCCAUGCUGGAUUGUUUUUAUCACUGGAGAGCAUCUGGGCCCUGGCAGCUCCUGGUGUGCUGGAGUGUGCCAUCACUAGUCCUUACCAAGGAAUGCAGACCUAGCACUGGUGUUGCUGUCUGUCCAGGGCAGGAAGGUGUGUGCUGAAAUGGGUACUGCAGCUGCUGUGUCUGUGUUUAUAUUGUUGUUGCAUGGAUGUAGCUGACAGGGUGCUAAAGAUGCUCUUUUGAUGCUGGCUACGGCUACUGCAGAGCUGUACCCUCAUAGGAGGAAAGGUAAAACAGAGGUAAGAGACAGUGUGUCUUGGACUCUCCAGCAUCUUGUUAUGCUGAGAGAAACAAAAACUGAGGGGGAAAGCCCAGACUGACCAGGAUCAGAAAGUGCAGUCAGACCUGUGUGAGUUGGAAGCAGGGCCGUAGGUGAUCUAGGGCAUUGCCAAACUAAGCCCUGCAUGUUCCAUCAAGGGAAGUGGCACCACACCUCCAGACAACCUGUCCCAGCCUUUAGCUGGUCUCACAGGAAAAGUUUGUUUUGUGCCUGGAGAGAAAAUUUGCCCAUCACAGUGAAUCCUCGUGAAGAGAGUGCCUUCAUCUCUCAAUAUCUAACACUGGAAGGCAGGAAUGGAAUCCCCCUGAGCCCUCACUUCACCAGGCUGAAUGAACCAAAUCCCUCUGGCCUUUUUUCAAGGCAUGUCAAGUUCUCCAAUCCUAUAACCAUUUUGAGGCACUUAACCCCCUCCACCCCCAAACCAGCUUGGCUGCCCCCAGUUUUUUGAUGUUCUUCUUGACUGUGGGAGUAAUACUGGGCACAAUGUCCAGAUAUGAUGUGGGAUAGUUGUAACCCUUGACAUGCUGGGUUCAGUGUCACUGAUGUAGCACAGUCAGGUACUGGUACAGUCAUUGCCAUGGGCUAUUUUUCAUCAUGAGCUUUCAAAAUGCUUUGUAAGGAUGUUUUAGGAAUAGCAUUCUGUUUUGGCUCUCCUGAGAUGUUUCAGAGUAUGCCAAAGCUUCUUCAGCCCUCCCAUCUAUAGAUCAGAAGAAUUAAGUCUUAUUUUAGCUGCCCUCUUCCUUCUGGUAUUGCAGGCAAAUACCUUACCUUCUGAAAAGUAAAGAGUAAGAGGGGUGCAUCAAUUUUACAUGUAAAUGAAAGACAAUGAAAUCUUCCAAGUUUCUCUCACGUCUACAUAUCAUGAAAGGAAUUAAACUUUUUCUAAACUGUUCUGUAAACACAACUCCAUGUUUUUCUUGAAUAUUUCCCUGAGCAACAUGACAUUGACACAACAAUAAGCCCUGAUUCAAAAAAUAUUGAUCAUUUUAUCCAAUGCUGGGCAAUUGCUUUUCCAGAUCCCUGGUGAUGGGGUUGCAUAUUCUGUGUGAGAGUGCACCGGCCUUCUUGCCCAGUUCUGUGCUUGAUGUUGAACUUUUGUCCAAGCAAGGAUCUAUGCCUGAGAUUCCUCAUUGUUAUAGUAAAAACCAUGGUACUCGGCUUCCUUUUGAUAGCAGAAAGACAUUAGUGACCUCUAUCUGAGUCUUUACACAAAAUCACAGAAUUAACUAGGUUGGAAAAGAUCUUUGAGAUCAUCAAGUCCAACCUAUGACCGAACACAACCUUGUCAACUAAACCAUGGCACUGAGUGCCACAUCCAGUCUUUUUUUAAAUAUCUCCAGGGACAGGGACUCCACCACCUCCCUAGGCAGCCCAUUCCAGUGCCCAAUCGUUGUUUCUUUCAGUGAAGAAUUUUUUUCUGAUGUCCAGAGUAAACUUCCUCUGGCACAGUUUAAGACUGUGUCCUCUUAUUCUGUCUCUGGAUGCCUGGCAGAAGAGACUGACCCCCACCUGACUACAACCUCUUGUCUGGCACUGUGGAGAGUGAUGAGGUCCCCCCUGAGCCUCUUUUUUUCCAGGCUAAACAACUCCAGUCCCUCAACUGUUCUUCACAGGACUUGUGUUCCGGACCCUUCAGCAGCCUUGCUGCCCUUGCAGGCAUUUGGCGAGAUAGCAGUGUUACAUUAGGUGACAUUUGGGAGGUCCACCAUACAUCUCUCAUUCAGGAUGCCCUGAAUUAAGCUUAAAUUGCCUGUGGCAGUUGUUUCCCCGCUGUGUUCGUGGAAAACCUUUGGUGUGGUGAUCCCUAGCCUCCAGUAUGGUCCUGCCAGGGCUUUGCUGCCUUUUCUGGGAGGCAUUUGGAUUGAGCUAUCUUCACUGCAAUUUAAUCUUAUUUACUUUCCUAUCCCAGCAGACUUACUAAACUUUUCCAUCUCCUUUCCAGCUGCUGGUUUUGAUUGUGAAGACCUUAUUGUAUCUAAUCUCACUUUUUUCUUCCCUGUCAGAACAGCCCCAGUUCUCUCCAUCCUUUUCUACACCAUGACUAGUUCCUCUUGCUGCUUUCCUCCAGGCUGCUGGUCAACACUUCCUCAAACUGGAGCAUCCAAAAUGACUCAUUUGUGCUGAUACCAGACUGGUGCCAAGUGUGGGGGAAUAUAACUUCAUAUUUUCACAUAUGUCACCACUGCACGGUGUGACCCAGGAUGAUGAUUCCCCUUCCUUAGCAACAAGUCACUGUGACACACACUGACACCUAAAUUCAACAGAACAACUGUAUACCAAGUGUUGCCUUGUUAAAUAUCUGCUGUUCUAGAAAGCCAUGUCAGGUCUGCACUUUUUCUUGUCCUUAUCAAACUACCUCCUGUUUUUCAGAUACUUUCUCCAGUUUGGCUAGAUAACUUUGAAUUCCUAGGUUGUCUCCUGUAUGCUAGAAGUCCUUCUAACCUAUCUAUCCUCUCCAAAUUUAUCAGUAGUAUAUCAGGAGCUCAGUAUCUGUUAAUGAAGAUAGAGUGUAGUACCACAGACUGGCUUCAGUGAAAUCCAUACUUAAUGCAUCCUUCUAGUUUGACAAGAAACUUACUGGCAAUGACUCUUAGAAGCAAGCUUUCUAACCAGCUCUGAACUAUCCUUAUAAUGGUGUCAUGCAGACUCAAGUCACCUCCCCCUAUAACACCCCAUAUAAGAAAUUGCUAAAGCUUUACUGUAGUCAAAGCACAUCUAUUGCUUAUGUAGAAUGAUAGUUUCCAUUUUUAUCCUCUCACAGAAGGAACCUGCAAAGGUUUGAAAUGUUAUUUCCUCAUUAAUCUUUAUUUGCCAUCACUCAUCUGCUUGGCACCUUUCCUGUAUGUACAAGUAGCCUGGUUUGUUCUUAGAGUGUUUUUGUGGGUUCUAAAGAUCAGCCAACUGGUCUGCAGUUGUCUUGCAUCUCUGUUCCUCCUUUAUUAACCCAGUCUCUCCAUUUGCCCUUGAUCAGUUUUGUGAAACCUUGGUCACUUACCCCAAAUUCUCAGGUAGUUUCUGCCAGUGGUGGAAAUACCUAUUGGGUCUUUUAUUAGAUGCAACAAGUUUGAAAAUUGUUUAUUUAUUGAAAUGGUCUUUUAAAAUAAGUUUAGGUAGCUUUCUCUUUUUUUAAGCACCCUGAAAUCUCAGUCUUUUAUUGGCUUCAUCCCUCCAGUGGAAAUAGAAAAAAAAAAAUUAGACAAAUUUGACAUUGAUAGAUUUAAGUGAUAGAAAUGUGGGAAGGAAAGGACAACCUGGUUCAGCAAGUCCUAUCUCCAGUGCCCAUAAAGUGUUACACCAUGCAGAGACUACACAAGUCCCUGCACCUAACAAGCCAAACCUCUUCAGCAUGUUGGUGCCAGGAAGAUCUUUUACCCUGGGCUGCUAACACUGAAAAAGCAGGCUGAGCUUUUGGAAAGCUGGGGAUUUACCUUCUGCUUUCCCCUCCACAGAGGAUAACGUACCUACUGCUGGCUGUAACACCAGCUGGGUGGGCAGCUUCUGCAAGGCUCCAAGCACUGCUGCAGGGCUGGCAAAAUGGGCUGAGGCUGGCAGGGCAGCCUUGGGGGAGCAGUCCCCAAGGCAGGCAGUGGCCCAAGGGGUGUGGCACCAGAGUGGGCUGUGACAGCCAAAAGGCCUCUCCCUCAGCCCUUUGUGCCAAGGCUUGGACUUGGGACCCCUCGGUGCAAAGCUUUGGCUGGUGGUGGAACAACGAGGAGAAAAAAUACAAACGAACUCCAGAAGGGAGCCUGGAGUAAUGGCAAUGUCCAUCAUUUAAACAAUGCUUUUGAUAACUUUUAUCCAGGUUCUUCUUCUCAAUUCAAAGGAAACGACACUUCAUUUCAGGGCUUUACUCUUUCCUGCAGCAAUCCAUGACUUGUCAAUAGCUGUAUGGUUUCUAGUUCUCCAAUUUUUUUAUGCAGCAUCACCCCAGAUCUGAUACCCUCAGAAAUGUCCCCAAGCUGUAAAAAUGGGCUAAUCAUCCAACGAUCUUGUGUUUCAAAUUCAGUGAAGUACUAUAAAAGCAUUCACAAAUGAUGAUCUUUAAAAAUAAGACCAGCUUCACAUGCAAUUGUUUGUUCAACCAGAGUACGAAGCAAAAAAUUUUAAAAAUGUUACAUUAUUGUUAAUUUUUUAAAUACUAGCUGUCCUUUAGUGAAUGUUAAUCUCUGACAGAUGGCUCUGUCCAUCUGGCACUACUGAAGAAUGUAAAAAUCUAUUUGAUGUGGAAAAUUUUUUUAAAUUGUGUAUUAAUUAGAAACAAUUAAAACAACUGAUCAUUUCAUCCUGGGAGAGCAUGAUGGUGCAAAAGCACCACUAAUAAAUUCCACUGCCAAGAAGUGGGAGAGAGUUUGCAGACAGAGCUCAUGGCAUGGAUCCUUUUUCUUCUUUCAUAGUUGUGAAAUAUUUCUAAGGACAAAACAUCCUGUGAACGAAGAGCAGUGUCCCUCACAGACAAAUUCACAGAGGCUUGUGCUGAAGGAAGCUGUGAUAUCAGCUUGUUCCUCAUUCUCUAGUAUGAGGAAGGGCAUCCCUUAUGGAAAGGCAGACGUGGAGAUCCUGGAUCCAAGUGUGCCUGGCUCAGUACAACACCUGAAGGGAUGUUGAUGGACAACAUUUCUGCUUCUCCCACCAGAUGAACCACUUUAUCCUCACUCUGCUUGCUGAAAAGCCUGCAGCUCUUGCCACCUGUCCCAGCAGUUUGGGGUGCUGAGGGCACUGCUGGGAGAAGGCAGUGGGGGAGACCUGAGCAUAGUCUGCAGCAUGGGAGAAGAGAAGGAGGAGGAGGAGAUGGGGGCUCUCUAGAAAGUCUGCAGCAUGGCUCAAGGAGGGAGGUGGAUCCUCAUGGAACUUUAGGCUUUAUCAGUCUUUAUCAGACUUUAUCAGUCUGGCUGAUCGUGGAGCAGUGUUUCUUGGCAGGUAUCAGCUUUAGAAAAACUUAAAAAGCAGGAGAGUCCCUGCAAUUAACACUUGCACAGAAAUAAAACAUAGAUUUUUACCAUCUUCACAGCAUGAUCCCAGUCCCAUGGUGACCUGUUUGGUGAAUACACUUGAAUUUUUUUGGGGGACCUUGACUGGUUUGCUGCAUUGCUCAGGGCAUCUGAAAAGUUAUUUGGAUGUGAUGUCAUCCUCAGAGAAUAAAGCACAUUUAGGUUAUGACAAGAUAACCACUCAUCUGUUAUAUUUUCUUUUUUUUAACAUCAUCAAGUACUCAAUCUAAAGAGAAACAUGAUUCUUAAAUUCUUCCUGAAAUAAAAACCCAAUUUUUGUAAUGUUGGUUUAGAAAAGUUCUUUCUGUCUGCAAUGGGCAAGAUGAUUAUUUUAAUUUGGACCAUUAAAGAGUUGAGUGUUGUUUUGAGCUGAAGUAAAAAUAAUAUUUCAUCCUAAAGAUCAGAACAGAUUACUCAGUAUUCCUCCAGAAAGCAGAUUUAUAUUUAGAAUGAUAAUACAUGAGGUUUUCUUAGCAGUAGUAUUUUUUUUUUCUUACAAAAAGAGUGUUCUGAAAGUAAAUCCUUUGACAAGACUGCUUUGCAUUAAAAACACGCUUUCUCUUUCAUGACUGCCAGGUCAGGUUAGCCUCUUCAAUCUAUUAAAAUGCUUAAUUUCAUUAAACAUAUAUUUCUCUGGUGGUGUUAUAAUCAUUAAGUAUCUGACACCAGAAGCAUAUUUUCUAUUAGAUUUCAAUUGUGUAAUUUUGAAGGCUGUUCAUCACUCUUUAUUUCCUUUUAAAUGCUUUAUUAUACUUCCCUAGCAGCAAGAGGUAAUAGUUCCUAAGUUCAAAGCCAAGCUUUAGUCUGCAUUGGAUGCUGGGGGAAGCCAUCAGGGUGCUGCUUUGUGAAACUAAAAGUGGCUUCUUGUAUGGUCCACAUCCAAGUUGAGAAGCUGAAAGUGGAUCCUUGGUCCAUCCUACCCUGCCUGCACGACUGUCUCUGGAGUCCUGAGUUUGCUGUGGUACUGCAAGGCUGCAGCAGCCAGUCAGGGCUACUGACAUGGGAACCAGCACCUGAAGCUCAUGCUUUUGAUACAGAAGACAGAUGAGGUUUUGCACCCUUUAAAGAGGAUCAGAAACCAGGCAUGCUAUGGGUUAAGGUGCCUUUACAAUUUACCUUCAAUAGACAUAUUGAGAAAGGUCUAGUCCCUUCCUCCAGACUGUGGUCACCCAAACCUGGGUCCUCUUUUGAGGCUAAGUGCUAACAUGUUGCCUUUCAGAACCAAACAAGUUCUUUGCAUCCUUCAAAAGAAGAAGAAAAAAAAAAAAAAAAA